UUCCGGUUGAUCCUGCCGGACCCGACUGCUAUCAGAGUGGGACUAAGCCAUGCGAGUCAACAUAGCAAUAUGUGGCAUACGGCUCAGUAACACGUAGUCAACAUGCCCAGGGGACGUGGAUAACCUCGGGAAACUGAGGAUAAACCGCGAUAAGUCACUACUUCUGGAAUGGGUAAUGACUCAAACCUAUAUGGCCCCUGGAUUGGACUGCGGCCGAUCAGGCUGUUGGUGAGGUAAUGGCCCACCAAACCUGUAACCGGUACGGGCUCUGAGAGGAGGAGCCCGGAGAUGGGCACUGAGACAAGGGCCCAGGCCCUAUGGGGCGCAGCAGGCGCGAAACCUCUGCAAUAGGCGAAAGCCUGACAGGGUUACUCUGAGUGAUUUCCGUUAAGGAGAUCUUUUGGCACCUCUAAAAAUGGUGCAGAAUAAGGGGUGGGCAAGUCUGGUGUCAGCCGCCGCGGUAAUACCAGCACCCCGAGUGGUCGGGACGAUUAUUGGGCCUAAAGCAUCCGUAGCCGGUUCUGCAAGUCUUCCGUUAAAUCCAGCCGCUCAACGGAUGGGCCGCGGAGGAUACUACAGGACUAGGAGGCGGGAGAGGCAAGCGGUACUCAGUGGGUAGGGGUAAAAUCCUUUGAUCCAUUGAAGACCACCAGUGGCGAAGGCGGCUUGCCAGAACGCGCUCGACGGUGAGGGAUGAAAGCUGGGGGAGCAAACCGGAUUAGAUACCCGGGUAGUCCCAG
rnacentral:rRNA from 1 species